AGCAGCCGCGGUAAUUCCAGCUCCAAUAGCGUAUAUUAAAGUUGCUGCAGUUAAAAAGCCCGUAGUUGAAUUUCGGGACCAUCACGUCGGUCGUGCCUCGGUACGUACUGGCGUCGUUGGUUUCUCCCUUCUGACGAACCAUGAUGUCAUUUAUUUGGUGUCGUGGGGAAUCAGGACUGUUACUUUGAAAAAAUUAGAGUGUUUAAAGCAGGCUCACGCUUGAAUACAUUAGCAUGGAAUAAUGAAAUAGGACGUUUGAUUCUAUUUUGUUGGUUUCUAGGAUCGACGUAAUGAUUAAUAGGGAUAGUUGGGGGCAUUAGUAUUCAAUUGUCAGAGGUGAAAUUCUUGGAUUUAUUGAAGACUAACUACUGCGAAAGCAAUUUGCCAAGGAUGUUUUCAUUAAUCAAGAACGAAAGUUAGGGGAUCGAAGACGAUCAGAUACCGUCGUAGUCUUAACCAUAAACCUAUAGCCGACUAGGGAUCGGAUGAUGUUAAUUUUUUUAAUGUACUCAUUCGGCGC
rnacentral:rRNA from 1 species